AUUCUCACACUCAGUUGCACUAACAGUGAGUGACCUUUACUGGAUCCCACGGCGCCCACGUGCACACCCAAUCCCAAAUCUAACAAUUCUGCACGAACGUUGAGCCGCGCUUGAACACCAAUUCCGCCGGCUGUGCUGGCCUCGCCCCCGGCCCGCCGCAGGCGCCGGCAGGCCUCUCCCUCCACGUCCCCCCGUUUGCUGCAUGCCCAUGUGACACAUCACCGGGACACAUCAUCAUACCUGUUUCACUGCUUGAUGCAAUAUCUGUCCUGAACUUUUCCUGAAACAAGAAUACAAAACACUGAAGGUUUAUUUUUACAAAAAGUUAAGUAAAAGUAGAUCAUCAUGUUCCGAAUGCAACCCCCUGGACCACCACCAGAGAAGUCACAAGAAGAGGAGGUCUUGAUGAGGAAAGCACUCAUUGGGAAUGUCACCAUCUUUGCUGCAAUAGUGGCUGCAUUGAGAUUAACUCCCAUUGUCUUGGAUCAACUUGGUUUCUAUGAAUCAUGAUAGCCUCUGCUCAAACUGAACAACUGAUUGGGCCGUGCUUCAAUUUAGGUUGGGAAACCUCUUCCCUUAACAGUGAAUGUAGGUGUGAUGGUCUGAUUGAAGAUAUUUGCUUAUUAAUCUAAAUAUUCCUCAAGAAAGAGCAAGAAGUGGAGGUGUUGUUACAUUAUAUUGAAAGAACUGUAUGAACAGUGGGCAAAUUACAUAUUUGAAGUAAGGAAUGUAUAUGGGUAAUGCAUAAACAUUUAAAACAAUAUAGAUGGCCCUAAUACCUAUAUUGAUAUGACGUAUAUUUCCCAACUGAAAUUAAAUUCAAUCAUUUUGCAGAGCUGAUUUAAUUCUUAUAGAGUCAAGUUAGGAAAUUUAUUUUUUCACAGAGGUAUUCCAUCAUAUUAAUAUAAACAAGCAUCUUGUGCAAAUUCAUUCCAACAUGAAAAUGAUCUUUGUUUUUCCGAGACUUAUCUCCAUGCAAAGGUAUGUUAGUUACAUUACAUUGGAAAGAUUUAAAAGCAGCUUGCAUUUCACAUAGUAUUGCACAAAUUCCAAUGCACUUGUACAUCAAAUUUACCCAAUAUUGGAUAAUGACCAUGCCCAAAUUUAUUUUUCGCAGAAGUUAAUUGAAAUGAUCUGAAAUUGACUUGCCCAAAUGUGUUGUAAAUAUAUCUUAAAGGUUGAAUGCAGUAUUACAAUUUGAAUCAUACGUCUGAUAGUGUAUUGGCAGGCAAGUGGUAGUACAUAUCUUUCAUAAUAAUAGUAAUAAUGAAGAAAGAUAUGAUUGAUACCUUCCCUAUUCUUUUACAUAUCAACUUAAAAGACUAGUCUCUAUCCAGUUGUACACUUUACGAUCGAUAUAAGAAAAUGCAGCAGUACAGUAGGAUUAUAUGUAUUACAUACCGUUUUCUACCACACAAACACCCUUCAAACUAUAUGUUAUAACCAAAGGCACAAAGAUGUAAUGUGCAUAAAUACUUGUAUGCCACGGCUAAUAUAUUAAAAAAAAUGAAAACUCCUAUUGGUUACCAGCAAUGUUACUUUUCAGGCUAAACACUGGAUUCAAGCUUUAUGCACUUAAUUUCAGACCAUAUACUAAAUGGCUAAUUCUAAAUGAUUUUCAGGCAUUUUGAUUGUUGAUUCCUAAUUUAACGGCCAGAAAAAUAUGAGAGUAAGCUUUUUGUAUGUCUCAAAAAGCUAUGAAAACAUAACUUUCAUGAUUGUGAAAAGUGUCUUGUCCUUUUUACAUAUACGAUGUGUUACUGCUUCUAUCUAUGAAGUCCACCUUGCAUACGUUGAAUGGAUCUACAGGGAACUGCUUUAGCUUCACUUUACUACAAUUUUACCAAAAGCAGUGUAGUGAAAUGAGUUCUUAAAAUGAAUAAAAGCAUCUCUGUUUUUUUAUUUGACCAAGUUCAAAACUUCUGAAAGUUCAACUUUUGCAAGGUUGACUUAUUUAUUCUGUGUGAUGUAAACUAUUUUUUUUGUGAUAAUCUUGAGGUAUUUUGUCAAUGACAAAUAUUGCUCUUCUAGACAUUAUGGAAGGAUUUCUAAGAAAUAUAAAAUAAAACAGGACUUUAUAAACAAUAA